GUUUCAGUUUAAAUCGGGGCUGCCCCGAAUCACAUUCAAAUAGACAUCAGAGUUGUUUUAAAACGGGAGCGCGGUCACUACAACCGCCCUCCCAAAGGUUCACAGGUGUUUGGGUUUGGAAGAGGGCGCGGGUCCCAGCCGCAACACGGCGUCGCCACCGGUGCAGGCCGAGCCCCACUCCCCUCCCCCAUGAAGUUUCAAUAAUGAUCCUUCCGCAGGUUCACCUACGGAAA
rnacentral:misc_RNA from 1 species